rnacentral:rRNA from 1 species
CAGCCGCCACGGUAAUACGUAGGGUGCGAGCGUUAAUCGGAAUUACUGGGCGUAAAGCGUGCGCAGGCGGUUCGUUAAGACAGAUGUGAAAUCCCCGGGCUUAACCUGGGAACUGCAUUUGUGACUGGCGAGCUAGAGUAUGGCAGAGGGGGGUAGAAUUCCACGUGUAGCAGUGAAAUGCGUAGAGAUGUGGAGGAAUACCGAUGGCGAAGGCAGCCCCCUGGGCCAAUACUGACGCUCAUGCACGAAAGCGUGGGGAGCAAACUGGAUUAGAUACCCCUGUAGUCCCUGUCUCUUAUAC